AUGGGCCUCACUCUGUCCACACUCUUUUCACGAAUCUUCGGAAAGAAGCAGAUGCAGAUUCUCAUGGUUGGCUUGGAUGCAGCUGGCAAGGCCACAAUCCUGUACAAACUGAAGUUGGGGGGAGAUUGUCACCACCAUCCCAACCAUAGGCUUCAAUGUAGAAACAGUGGAAUAUAAGAACAUUUGUUUCACAGUCUGGGACGUGAGAGGCCAGGACAAGAUUUGGCCUCUGUGGUGGCACUACUUCCAGAACACUCAGGGCCUCAUCUUUGUGAUGGACAGUAAUGACCGGGAGCGGGUCCAAGAAUCUGCUGAUGAACUCCAGAAGAUGCUGCAGGAGGAUGAGCUGCGGGAUGCGGUGCGACUGGUGUUUGCCAAUAAGCAGGACAUGCCCAAUGCCAUGCCCACGAGUGAGCUGACUGACAAGCUGGGGCUACAGCACUUGUGCAGCCACACAUGGUAUGUCCAGGCCACCUGUGCCACCCAAGGCACAGGUCUGUACGAUGGUCUGGACUGGCUGUCCCACAAGUUGUCAAAGCGCUAACCAGCUAGGGGCAGGCCCCUGAUGCCUGGAAGCUCCUGUGUGCAUCCCCGGGAUGACC